GACGAACGCUGGCGGCGUGCUUAACACAUGCAAGUCGAACGGAAAGGCCCUGCUUUUGUGGGGUGCUCGAGUGGCGAACGGGUGAGUAACACGUGAGUAACCUGCCCUUGACUUUGGGAUAACUUCAGGAAACUGGGGCUAAUACCGGAUAGGAGCUCCUGCUGCAUGGUGGGGGUUGGAAAGUUUCGGCGGUUGGGGAUGGACUCGCGGCUUAUCAGCUUGUUGGUGGGGUAGUGGCUUACCAAGGCUUUGACGGGUAGCCGGCCUGAGAGGGUGACCGGCCACAUUGGGACUGAGAUACGGCACAGACUCCUACGGGAGGCAGCAGUGGGGAAUAUUGCACAAUGGGCGGAAGCCUGAUGCAGCACCGCCGCGUGCGGGAUGACGGCCUUCGGGUUGUAAACCGCUUUCGCCUGUGACGAAGCGUGAGUGACGGUAAUGGGUAAAGAAGCACCGGCUAACUACGUG
rnacentral:rRNA from 1 species